AGAGAGAGAGAGAGAGAGAGUGUGCAGGAAUAUUGCAGGAAUAAAAGAAAAUCUAAUUUGACAUGUUUAACUAGAAGAAUAUGCUGAAAGAAAUGGACAGAGAGACUAAUUAGUGGACGAAAUAAAACCUCAGAGAUGCAUUGAUGUAAUUGUCAACAUACACGGACUAACUAAUGACAAUACUCAAGAACUUUAUAUUAAUUCACUCUAAAGGUAACAUAUUUUGACAUUACAAAUUAGCAAUUACUAGUAGGCUAACCAACAUUAAAAAGGGCAACAAUCCCAACAAAUAUAGUAUGAAUUACUAGCAUACAUGACAUAUUCAAGAUUUUGUUAUUUUAUUUACUUUUUCAAGGCAAAGCUCGUGCAUGCAGCAAUUCAGAUGGCUCUAAUCAAAAUUUUACAAUAAAAAACUUAUAUUCACCCACCCUCUCGAAAAAACUAUAGGACCAUGUUCAAGAGAUUUUCCAAUAUUCGGACAGCUCAAAAUCUCUUUAGAUAAAUCUGAUCCCAAAUAAGCUAAAAAGAAAUUCUACUAUUCAAGUUCAGAGAUGUAGUCAACCGAUGUUACCUUUAAAUUCCAUUUACACUGAUAAUUCAGCAUUCAGAUUUCAAGCGCUCAUGCACAUAGAUUAAGUGGUACUAAAAUCUUCCUAUUAUUAUCUAAGGAGAAGUACAAAAAAGUACUAUGGCGUUUGCUCCAUUUUCAAGUAAGGUUAUGUGGAAUGUGUUUUGACAAACAAGUGCCAUGCAGUUAAGUCUGUUAACAAAGAAAGUCCAAACACCCUAAUGCCAUUAAUGGUUGCUGACACAGAACGUUAGUAGCCAUUAAUAGUGAAAACGUGUUUAGACCUUCUCUUUUACUGGACUUUGGACCUCCUUUGCUAACAGACUUAACCAUAAGGUACUAGUUUGUCAAAAUCUAAACCACUGGACGCUACUUGAAAAUGACAUGUACCACAGAGACAACACUUUUUAUACUUUUCCCUUUUAUCUAUCAUGAAAUUAACAAGCAGAGAAUCCAAAUUACUACUGUCUAACUAUCAUGCAAAUCAAAUCAUACCUCACAUUAAGACUCGUUAUCGUCGACUUCAGUAAAGCAUCUCCAACUAUCAAUCUCAACCUUUUGAUAAAAUCUUCCCUGCUUAUCUUCUUUGCCCGGAAUAGUUCAUAAUGAGUAGCUAUACGUUCCAUUUCUGUACGAGGAACUUUACUUGAGAUUGCAGAAAACAACAUAGGAAAGGGCAUCCAAGGGGAUUUAGGAGUCCUUGAGUUGCUUGAACCAAGACUUGGAGCUUUUCCUAGAGAACCUCCAGAUUUUGGUUGGCUUUCACUUCCCAGAUCAGCCGUAGGAGACUCCACAGGUAGAUUCAAAUCAACCACAGGAUAUUCUAUUGGCAGAUUCAGAUCAACAGUAGAUGACUCAAUUGGUAAAUUUUGCUUAGCACCUUGUGAAGAUAUAGUGAUGCCGGACACACCAUGUUUUAUCCCACUUCCAGCCAAAAUCCCUGUUUGGGGAGAAAAAAAAAAUCUAGCAGUCAAGUCAAAAGAAACUUUCAAAAAAGAAAUUCAUGUAUUCAUACAGCAUUUGUAGAGAAGACACCACCAACUAAGCGACUGGAUGAAUAGUUGGAGUAGUUAUUGAGCUCCGAAUGUUACAAAGCAAAACCAAAAGUAGAUAACUAUGCGUCAUGGAUUCAAUUAUCAGCACCCAAGGAGACUGGACAAUAGAGAAUGAAGCUUGAUUCUCAGACCAAGAGAACUUAUUGGUUCUAUCCAGCAGAUGACAAAUCAUUGUGAACAUCUAUCCGAUAUAAGGAUCUUCAAGUUCUCAUUCAUUAGUAGAACUGUAGAACAAUUAUAUAUAUUUGUGCAUGUGAGUGUGCAUGUGUAUGCAUAUAUAUAGGGCAUAUUUUUCAUCCAGAAACUGAAACCUCAAGAGCAGCAGCGGAUCACCUUCAGCAUUGGAAGAGAUCUUGAAACUAACAACAAAUUCUGGAUAAAUAUGGGUGUUCAUAUUCAUAUUCCACACUAUAUACUGGCUUGGAUUUUGAAGGUCAUCAACACCACUAUCAAAAUUCUCACUACUAGGAUGCCACUGCUGACUCCCAGGUUGAAGGAGCUCCAUUUUUCCCAUUAUUACACGACAAAAAACCAUGUGCCGUACUCCAUUUUCGUCAACAUCACAAAAUUUUGCACUUGAUUGACUGCAGUUUGCUGCAUAUAGAUGAACACCAAUGCCAUAUUUGGACUCAGUUGUGGAUAGUCCACAAUGUCCAAGUCCAUACAACAUGAUUGUAGAUAGUAAUCCUUUAGAGGAAGCAAGCCAAGCAUAUCGAACAUUUGCAUCACCACGACAAAUUUUUGUUAGUUCAAUCUGCUUCUGGAAAAUCUCCAAUCGGGCUUGCAUUGAAGUACUAGAGCAGCGACAAAUAUCAAGUGAGUCAACACUACUAAAAGACUUCAUGCCUGUAAGAAACAUAUUUUGUACAGUAUUAGAAUCCAGCUUUUCAUUAACAGAUUCAAUUCCAGUGGAUACAUUUGCUUUAAUAUGUUGAUUUUCCUCAAAAGCUUCAUUAAUUUUUUCAUCAGGCUUCCUGUUGCAACUAUCCUCAACUUCUACAGCGUUCACACUUCUAGGAUUUUGAGCAAUUGCAAUAUGCUUUACAAAAGCAUUUGACUCUCCACUACACUCUAACUUGGAUUGAUGUUGAUCCAGUCCAUUUAUGUCAAUUUCCAGCUGCAGCUUUAUCUCCUGAGGUCCAUUAGGCUCUCUAAAAAUAGGCCCUUGGUCAUUCGCACAAUUAUGCUGGAAGGACUCAUGUGGCUCCUCAUUAUCAAUAUAAAUUUCGGGAAAGAAACAGCCACCUUCUUCAUCAAUCCAAGCAAUUGGUUUCUGAAAACCUGUCUUCAUGUCCACUAGAAACAUAUGCAAGAGAUCCAGCAAGUAGUGAUGUCCCUCUAACUCAACCUCAAUAGCCGGUUUCUUCUCUUGAAGAUCCUUCCUAACCAAAGCAACAAGAUCUUGAGAAAAAUCAGUCCAUUCGCCACUCUGAUAAAACAUAAGACGUUGUGGCACCCCAGUCCUCUUAAAAUUUGAAUAACACCGAAGCAAAGAUCUUCUGAAAUGAUACCCACAGCUCACAACCUUGCUUUGGCUUCCAGUUAGUCUCCUCUGUUUCCCAGACUUAAAGGUUGAAUAAUGCACAGUUGGCCACCCAGGUGAGACAAUGCCGGAAGCUUCAGCAAAAUAUGCUGCAUAACGGGAUGCUCGUUUUCUCUUCAAACCAAGCAUAACUCUACGACUACUACUAUCCAAUACCUUUGCGAUCUUGGCAUCCAUUUCUACGUAAUAAAUCAAUCCCUAUAAAAAGUUCAAAUCCAAACGCUCAAAUAUAAAGAAAACUAACAAUUUUAGCCUCCCACCAGGUUAAAGACACAAUGCCAUUGAAGAUGAUUGCCAAGCCCUGAAAAAUAGGAACUACUUAGAAAACUCAAUAGUUUAGAUAAACUACGAUUUCCAUCCGUAAUACACAAGUAAAACCUAGUGAUCUACAUAACUGUCUCAUCCGAAGGACAAUAAUAAUUACUUCUAAAAAUAUUUUUUAUUCAUAUAUAGUUUUUGGCCUUCCAAAGUGUUAACUUUUAACCCGUCGUCCCUAGAGGUGACCAAUGCAUGAUAUAACCAAAAUGAAUAACUGGUUCACAAUUAAAUCACCAAAUACAGAGGCAAUAGUAGAUAGACAGGGGAAGAUAAUUUUAAUAACUAUACUUAUUCUCUUUAAUAUUCCAUUAUACAUAUAUAAACAAAUAAUAAAAUGAACAAAGAACCGAUAAUGCUCAUAAAAGCUUCCCCCAUGAAUUCAAUAUCUUGCUAAUAAAACACUAAAAUAUUAAUGGUAAAGCAUACCCUAGUCCAUAUUUGUAGAAAUAUAAUAAAUUCUGAACCAGAAGAUGAAAACAAAAUUUUAAAUUGUACAUGUAUGAACAAAAAUGAACAAAGAAUCAACACAACCUAAAAAUAAAAUAAAGUAAAAUAAAAUAAAAUCUCGAAAUCAUGGUAAUGCUAAUAGAAUACUAAAAUAGCACUACUCAAAACUCACCGAUGUCAAUAGCACACCAGUUAGUCAAUAUUAGCAGAAUUACUACAAAAUUCAAAACAAGAACAUGAACAAGACCACUACACCUUAAUAUGAUUAUUUAGGGUACGCUCAUACAAUAACCAAUCGGUCCUACUUUAAAUCUUCACCGAAUUUCCCGUCCCCAUGGAGGAUGGCUGGAGGCUAAGCAUGAUUGUUCCCACACUGGUGAGUCCAAAAUCGACGAUGAUGUGCCUAAAUGCUCCUUGAUUUGGUCUCCCUUUUUCGAUUAUUCAGAAUUUGAGAAGGAUUGGACUACGUUGAGAGGUGCAGGUGCCGAUUCUGUUGAAGAUGGCGGUGGUGGCGGCGGUCAUGGCGGUGGAGGCGAUGGUGACGAGGAUUUACUGUUGGGGUUUGACGGGUGAAGAAAGAGAGGAAUAAGGAUAAAU
rnacentral:misc_RNA from 1 species